rnacentral:rRNA from 1 species
UACGGAGGAUCCAAGCGUUAUCCGGAUUUAUUGGGUUUAAAGGGUGCGCAGGCGGAGUGAUAAGUCAGUGGUGAAAGCCUACAGCUUAACUGUAGAACUGCCAUUGAUACUGUCAUUCUUGAGUAUUGUUGAGGUAGGCGGAAUGUGUCAUGUAGCGGUGAAAUGCUUAGAUAUGACACAGAACACCGAUGGCGAAGGCAGCUUACCAGGCAAUAACUGACGCUCAUGCACGAAAGCGUGGGGAUCAAACAGG